rnacentral:rRNA from 1 species
UGCCAGACUCCUACGGGAGGCAGCAGUGAGGAAUAUUGGGCAAUGGACGCAAGUCUGAACCAGCCAAGUCGCGUGCAGGAUGACGGCCCUCCGGGUUGUAAACUGCUUUUAGUUGGGAAUAAAAGGGGGCUCGUGGGCCCCGUAUUGUAUGUACCAUCAGAAAAAGGACCGGCUAAUUCCGUGCCAGCAGCCGCGGUAAUACGGAAGGUCCGGGCGUUAUCCGGAUUUAUUGGGUUUAAAGGGUGCGUAGGCGGACGCUUAAGUCAGCGGUAAAAUUGCGGGGCUCAACCUCGUCGAGCCGUUGAAACUGGGUGCCUUGAGUGGGCGAGAAGUACGCGGAAUGCGUGGUGUAGCGGUGAAAUGCAUAGAUAUCACGCAGAACUCCGAUUGCGAAGGCAGCGUACCGGCGCCCAACUGACGCUCAUGCACGAAAGCGUGGGUAUCGAACAGGAUUAGAUACCCGAGUAAG